UACGUAGGGUGCAAGCGUUGUCCGGAAUUAUUGGGCGUAAAGAGCUCGUAGGCGGUCUGUCGCGUCGGAUGUGAAAACCCAGGGCUCAACCCUGGGCCUGCAUUCGAUACGGGCAGACUAGAGUUCGGUAGGGGAGACUGGAAUUCCUGGUAUAGCGGUGAAAUGCGCAGAUAUCAGAAGGAACACCGGUGGCGAAGGCGGGUCUCUGGGCCGAUACUGACGCUGAGGAGCGAAAGCGUGGGGAGCAAACAGG
rnacentral:rRNA from 1 species